UGCAGUGCCUCCCCCGGGCCAGGAUCCUCACCAGCAGUCGCAUCAGACUACAACUUCAGAAAGUUUUGCUUCGACAGAGCAGACUACUAAUGUGGGUAAUGGACUUGAUUCAACAGGUACAUCGCAAGGAACACAGACAAUACCACCAUCCGACCUUCAACCAACAGCUAGUGAACCAGAAAAUGCCAACCCUAGAACUCAGCAAGAUACUCUACACCCUGAUCCAACUCACGCCAAUCCUCACCAAUUAAACGCCCAUCCAAUGAAAACACGAUCCAAAAACAACAUUUCCAAGCCUACCAAAAAGCUUACCCU
rnacentral:lncRNA from 1 species